UACAGAGGGUGCAAGCGUUAAUCGGAGUUACUGGGCGUAAAGGGCGCGUAGGCGGUCAUGUAAGUGAGAUGUGAAAUCCCUGGGCUUAACCUAGGAACUGCAUCUUAUACUGUAUGACUGGAGUACUGUAGAGGGUAGUGGAAUUUCCGGUGUAGCGGUGAAAUGCGUAGAGAUCGGAAAGAACACCAGUGGCGAAGGCGGCUCACUGGACCGGAACUGACGCUGAGGCGCGAAAGCGUGGGGAGCAAACAGG
rnacentral:rRNA from 1 species